rnacentral:lncRNA from 1 species
AGCUUUGAAUUUAAUUCUUGCUCCAUCGUCAGCUACUCCUUCUCCCCACCAACGCCAACAUUUCAACCUAAAAUACGCAUAUAUGUUUUUAUCUGUGUUUUAUAUAUGAAACACUAUUACCUUCCCUUUUUUCUCCCCCUAGAAAAUCAGGGGUUUCAGCCCCUGCAAACGUCGCCCCCAAGAUUCAAGUUUUAACAGGAGAACCAGAGAGAACCAUCACACAUUAGAUCAGAUUUUCUUAAUAUAAUCCUCUUACUUUUUCCUUUUUCUUUGAGAGACCAACCUGGUAAAGCCAAUCCAUAUGCCAAAAAGAAACAAACGCAAAUGAGUCCUUUUACAUAGUUACAUGCAUGAAUGAAAAAAAUGAAAAGACAAACACACAUACACACACACACACACAUAUAUGUGUGUGUGUGUGUGCAAAAAGGUAUGAACUUUAAAUUUAUCUCUUUUUUUCCUCAAAACCCUAGAAAGCUAAGCUGAGACAAAUCAGAAAGACUUCAGGUAUGAAUGGCAUGGAUGAGGAGUUGUAAUGCUGGAUGAAAUUAUGGGGAUUGAAGAACACAUUGAAUUGAAUAAUGGGUACCUUUUCAUUUCAUUGCAUUUGCAUUACCGAUCAAUUGCCCUGAAGAUCAAUUCUUUUUCUUCUUUCUUUAAACUGAUGAACAAUUUUAUUAGCCUCGAAAUUGUGUGAAUAAUAAUGGCAUAAAAUGUAUAGGGCCCGAAAAGUAGGAAAAGCUGAGAAGGACAUGCUGCCUAUGAUUGGGGAGCCCUUCAAAAAUGGCAUCAGUUACAUUGCAUGCUCCCAUGGCUUUUGGUUGUGAGUUGUGAUUCAGAAUAUCGGGGGUUUCAUUGGAUAUUCCAAUUUAGGUUCAUCUUUUUGUUUGAAG